GCGGCUCGCCCAGAGCCCGGCAAAAUGGAGCUCGAAGCUAGGAGCAGAUGCACCAGCCCUGUGAACCCAGCGGUCUUUCCACAUCUGACCGUGGUGCUCUUGGCCAUUGGCAUGUUCUUCACCGCCUGGUUCUUCGUGUAUGAGGUCACCUCCACCAAGUACACUCGCGAUAUCUACAAAGAACUCCUCAUCUCCCUGGUGGCCCCGCUCUUCAUGGGCUUUGGAGUCCUCUUCCUGCUACUCUGGGUUGGCAUCUACGUGUGAGCGCCCCAGGGUACCAGCCAGGCCGCUUCACUGAAUCCCUGCUUUUGUAAAUUAAUUUUUUUUUACUGUGCUGGAAGCGUCCCGCUUGCUACUUACAAUAAAGGCAGAUGU